UGCGGCCGGAAAUUUUGAUGCNGACNACCCCGCGUGGGGGAUGACGGCCUUCGGGUUGUAAUUUCCUUUCGACAGGGACGAAGCGCAUGUGACGGUACCUGUAUAAGAAGGGACCGGNUAACUACGUGCCACCAGCAGCGUAAUACGUAGGGUGCUAGCGUUGUCCUGAAUUACUGGGCGUAAAGAGCUCCUAGGUGGUUUGUCGCGUGUAAAUGUGAAAUUUCUGGGCUUAACUUCUGGCUUGCAGGCUGAUACGGGCAUAANUUGAGUGCUGUAGGGGAGACUGGAAUUCCUGGUGUAGCNGUGAAAUGC
rnacentral:rRNA from 1 species